rnacentral:rRNA from 1 species
GACGGAGGGGGCUAGCGUUGUUCGGAAUUACUGGGCGUAAAGGGCUCGUAGGCGGCCAACUAAGUCGGAUGUGAAAUCCCCAGGCUUAACCUGGGAACUGCAUCCGAUACUGGAUGGCUUGAAUCCGGGAGAGGGAUGCAGAAUUCCAGGUGUAGCGGUGAAAUGCGUAGAUAUCUGGAGGAAUACCGGUGGCGAAGGCGGCAUCCUGGACCGGCAUUGACGCUGAUGAGCGAAAGCUAGGGGAGCAAACGGGG